rnacentral:lncRNA from 1 species
UUAACAUGCUUCGUUUACUGUAUACUUCUAUUAUAAGUGUCGUGAAACAAAACAUUUACAGGACUUUAUAGUCGAUGAUGAAGCCUCACAGCUAUGCUCGCUCUUAGAGGAUUCCUAUUCAAUGGAAAAUGGUAUGGUAAAAGACACCAAAAUUCUGCUAACAGGACAUCCCUCCUACAUAUCUACUAAAGAAUCGAGCAAAAAUUACUGAAGUAAGUUUACUAAAAAUGACUGGACAUUGCGGGCCGUAGUAUCACACGUUAUCUGUUUACGGUUAGUAGCCUUAGUACAUACAUAUUUGCAGCUGCUUGGUGGUUAUACGUUUAAUCAAACAGAUUCCUUGCAUGAUGAAAGGGAAGCUUUGCUCUAUCGCCUAUGACAUCGAGAUGGAAUAGCUAAUGGUUGUGCGAUAUAAGUUUUGAAGCGCUCUUCCAACCGCAUUUAAUAAACGUUGGAGGACAAGGCAUCGCAGGAUUAGUGUUUAAAACCAUACAAACAGCCAAUAUCGAUAUACGACCGGAAUUGUACAAUCAUAUCAUGUCAUCUGGUGAUUAGUGUGUCCAAAUAUGAUGUGGAUAAAUUAGCGAAAUUUAAAAUUCAUCUUGAAGAUCCGCUAUCGUGAUGAGCGAUAUUUCACCACCGCACAGUGGUCGGUCUUGUAUGGGAUCAGCGGCCAAAAAUACUUCCACUGCAUAUAUAAAAGUGAAACUUUUGCCAAAGCUUUUUAAAAUCUCCCUCUCACGUUUCCCACUCUGCCACUC